AAUUUUGGACAAUGGGGGAAACCCUGAUCCAGCAAUCCCGCGUGUAUGAUGAAGGCCUUCGGGUUGUAAAGUACUUUUGGCAGAGAAGAAAAGGUACCUCCUAAUACGAGGUACGGCUGACGGUACCUGCAGAAUAAGCACCGGCUAACUACGUGCCAGCAGCCGCGGUAAUACGUAGGGUGCAAGGGUUAAUCUGAAUUACUGGGCGUAAAGCGUGUGUAGGAGGUUCGGAAAGAAAGAUGUGGAAUCCCAGGGCUCAACCUUGGAACUGCAUUUUUAAAUGCCGAGCUAGAGUAUGUCAGAGGGGGGUAGAAUUCCACGUGUAGCAGUGAAAUGCGUAGAUAUGUGGAGGAAUACCGAUGGCGAAGGCAGCCCCUGGGAUAAUACUGACGCUCAGACACGAAAGCGUGGGGAGCAAACA
rnacentral:rRNA from 1 species